ensembl:lncRNA
UUGGAUUUAGAAACUUUAAUGAUUGUUUGAAGGAGCUCUCAAACCAGGGCACACAGGAAUGGCGCGGCAGGUACUAUGGUAAAAAUUCUGCUCCCAGAGCCACACCCCGGGAGAAUUAAAUCAGUCUCUUGGUGUGGCCUACAGACAUGGAUGCUUUAAACACUCCCGAGUGACCGUAAUGCACGCCUCAGUCUCGGUGAGAGCCGCCCUACCUACUGGACCGGAAAUGUCAGCUUCAGCUUCGCCUCUGAGGCAAAUUCUCUGGCUGCUGCCACCUGCUGUGUCAGGAACUCUGGGAGGAGGGGCAGCUUGGAGUUUACCCAGUCCCCAGUUAUAGGGACAAGAAAAAAAUGUGUACUUUCAUGGGCAGUCAUCAUCGAUCUGACUCCACAGAACAUGAACAAACUGCAAAGGAAACAGUGCUCAAACGCAUGCUGGAGAAACGAG